rnacentral:tRNA from 1 species
UGGGCUGUAGCUCAGUGGAAGAGUAUCCGCCUCCCACGUGUGAGGCACUGGGUUCGAUCCUCAGCACCUCAU